AGCGAACGCUGGCGGCAGGCUUAACACAUGCAAGUCGAGCGGGCAGCCUCGGAUGUCAGCGGCAGACGGGUGAGCAACACGGGGGAACGUACCCUUCGGUUCGGAACAACUCUGGGAAACUGGAGCUAAUACCGGAUACGCCCUUAGGGGGGAAGGUUUACUGGCGAAGGAUCGGCCCGCGUCUGAUUGGCGAGUUGGUUGGGUAACGGCCUACCAAGGCGAGGAUCAGUAGCUGGGCUGAGAGGCGGAUCCGCCGCACCGGGGCUGCGGCACGGCCCAGAAUCGUACGGAGAGCAGCAGUAGGGAGUAUAGGAGGAGGAGGCCAGACCUGGUAAAGCCAUGCCGCGUGAGAGAUGCAGGCCUUAGGGUUGUAAAGCUCUUUUGUCCGGGGCGAUAAUGACGGUACCGGAAGAAUAAGCCCCGGCUAACUUCGUG
rnacentral:rRNA from 1 species